UUGCGUUUUAAUCACCGGCGCCGAUCCGUGUUUCGCCUUUGGAAGAUGUUUUAAAGGUCUUCUCUGAGGAAACCGUUAGUUCGUGUACUUGCACGCUGAAUUCCUGCAAGCUAGGCUCUAAACUAUGAUUCCUAAACCCCCAAGAGCUAAGCCCAAACAAACCAUAUGGUAGUCGUUGCCUACUCUGACUUCUUGUUCAACGACAAUGAAGUUGUGACAACUGUGAACAAGUGGUAAUUUACAACCAGUCCUUGAUAUUCUGGGCCAUUGCAGCAUCCCCUUGAUCGUGAUCUGGGGCUUGAUAACUAUCUCACACGUAUGAGAGUUGCAGCAUCCAACAGUCAGUCGCCUUUUGAUCACUAUUUGUGUUGCUUCGUGAUGGAGCUGACAAUUCCAUCUGUGGCUGCUAAGCGAGGACCACUUGUACAAUGUACUUUACAAUGUUAAUGUAAGCAGUAUAAAGCAGGAGUCCCCAACUUCCAGUCUGUGGACCGGUACCAGUCCAUGGCAUGCCAGAAACUGGGCCUUGCAAACAAGACAAGCCCCAUCCACAGGAUGCAGGAAGCACGUGAAAACACAUAUACACCCAGUCUGCAGAAAAACCUCUCUCCACAGAAUUGGUCCCUGAUAUCCAAAAGGUUGGCGGCUGCUGGUAUAAAGUAAUAUGUAAAAUGACAUUUUACAUUUGAAUAGUGAUACUGAUUAUGGUGGUAGAUAACUGAAGCUCAAGAUGGUAAGAAGCUAUAUACAUUACACUAACAUUCAUUACAUCAUGCCAUAUCUUUAUUGAUCAUAUAAUAAUUGUAUAAUUACAAUACAGUUAUAUGUUCUUAGUGCAAAUAAGGUAUUAAUUCACAUGCAGUCCAUUAACACAUACUAUAGCCAUCAAGACCAAUUGCUUGUGCACAAUAUGACCUUGUUUUUCUUUUUGGAGCUAUAAUUCCACCGCUAUAUGUCUAUUGCUUUAAAGUGGUGAAUUUUUCCAAAGUAUUUUUUGAUGUCAUGGAAAAAGAACAAACAACCUAUAUAACAAGUCCAAAUUCUUGGGACCUAUCUAAUGUAACACUCCUUAUCAUAUUCUAAUGGUUUCUAUCUUGAUUCCUAAAUUAUUUUGUUGUGCUUGAUUCCUUAAAACAUGUUUUCUCAGGAGUAUGUCCAACUGGGGCCAGCGGCACUUACUCAAGACCAUAUUUAAGAAUAAGAUUCCAAGAACAAAUUAUAUUUCUCCUUUAUACAAUUUAUGGUAUAAUCCUACUUAUUUUCAGCACAUGGAAUGUGCAGUAUAUGAGCAGCAUAGAGAAUUGACAAUUCAUGGUCUAUGUUACAAUGACUAUAUAAUUUGAGGAAGAAUAGCCUAGACUUUAGGAUAAAUUUCACUGAUUCAAUCACUUUCCCCAAAAGAAAUUGAACUGUAAUUUAUAUUAAUACAUUUAAAAUAAAGGCAAUGAUAUAGAACUUUAAUAGUAUUUGAUAUCAAUGAAAGAGAAAAUAUGUAGAAAAACAAGGUUAUGAAAUAUAUUAAUUGUGACUUUAUUUGGAAAAAUGUAGUUUUAUAGCCUCAAAGGAAAAGUAAACAUAACAGCAACAG